rnacentral:rRNA from 1 species
UCUACGGGUGGCAGCAGUGAGGAAUAUUGGUCAAUGGGCGCGAGCCUGAACCAGCCAAGCCGCGUGAGGGAAGACGGUCCUAUGGAUUGUAAACCUCUUUUGUCGGGGAGCAAAAGACGCCACGCGUGGCGUUCCGAGAGUACCCGAAGAAAAAGCAUGGGGUAACUCCGUGCCAGCAGCCGCGGUAAUACGGAGGAUGCGAGCGUCAUCCGGAUUUAUUGGGUUUAAAGGGUGCGCAGGCGGAAGAUCAAUUCAGAGGUAACAUUGAGGGGCUAAACCGCUAAGUGCCGUUGAAACUGGUUUUCUUGAGUGAGUGAGAAGUAUGCGGAAUGCGUGGGGUAGCGGGAGAAUGCAUAGAUAUCAGGAAGAACUCCGGUGGCGAAGGCGACUAUCUGGAACAUAACUGACGCUGAGGAGCGAAAGCGUGGGUAGCAAACAGGAUUAGAUACCCUAGUAGUC